rnacentral:rRNA from 1 species
AUUGAACGCUGGCGGCAGGCUUAACACAUGCAAGUCGAGCGAGCGGCGGACGGGUGAGUAAUGUCUGGGAAACUGCCUGAUGGAGGGGGAUAACUACUGGAAACGGUAGCUAAUACCGCAUACCAUCGGAUGUGCCCAGAUGGGAUUAGCUAGUCGGUGGGGUAAUGGCUCACCUAGGCGACGAUCCCUAGCUGGUCUGAGAGGAUGACGAGCGACCCUGGAACUGAGGCACGGUCGAGACGCCUACGGGAGGCAGGGGUGGGGAAUAUUGGACAAUGGGCGCAAGCCUGAUGCGGCCAUGGCGCGUGUGUGAAGAGGGCCUUCGGGUUUUAAAGCACUUUCAGCGAGGAGGCGUUACUCGCAGAAGAAGCACCGGCUAACUCCGUGUCAGCAGCCGCGGUAAUAC